rnacentral:rRNA from 1 species
CAGCAGCCACGGUAAUACGAAGGGUGCAAGCGUUAAUCGGAAUUACUGGGGGUAAAGCGUGCGUAGGUGGUGGUUUAAGUCCGUUGUGAAAGCCCUGGGCUCAACCUGGGAAUUGCAGUGGAUACUGGAUCACUAGAGUGUGGUAGAGGAUAGUGGAAUUUCCGGUGUAGCAGUGAAAUGCGUAGAGAUCGGAAGGAACAUCUGUGGCGAAGGCGACUAUCUGGGCCAACACUGACACUGAGGCACGAAAGCGUGGGGAGCAAACAGGAUUAGAUACCCGAGUAGUCCCUGUCUCUUAUAA